rnacentral:rRNA from 1 species
CGUCGAACGCCCCGCAAGGGGAGUGGCAGACGGGUGAGUAACGCGUGGGAACAUCCCUUUUCCUGCGGAAUAGCUCUGGGAAACUGGAAUUAAUACCGCAUACGCCCUACGGGGGAAAGAUUUAUCGGGGAAGGAUUGGCCCGCGUUGGAUUAGCUAGUUGGUGGGGUAACGGCCUACCAAGGCGACGAUCCAUAGCUGGUCUGAGAGGAUGAUCAGCCACAUUGGGACUGAGACACGGCCCAAACUCCUACGGGAGGCAGCAGUGGGGAAUAUUGGACAAUGGGCGCAAGCCUGAUCCAGCCAUGCCGCGUGAGUGAUGAAGGCCUUAGGGUUGUAAAGCUCUUUCACCGAUGAAGAUAAUGACGGUAGUCGGAGAAGAAGCCCCGGCUAACUUCGUGCCAGCAGCCGCGGUAAUACGAAGGGGGCUAGCGUUGUUCGGAAUUACUGGGCGUAAAGCGCACGUAGGCGGAUAUUUAAGUCAGGGGUGAAAUCCCGCAGCUCAACUGCGGAACUGCCUUUGAUACUGGGUAUCUUGAGUAUGGAAGAGGUAAGUGGAAUUCCGAGUGUAGAGGUGAAAUUCGUAGAUAUUCGGAGGAACACCAGUGGCGAAGGCGGCUUACUGGUCCAUUACUGACGCUGAAGUGCGAAAGCGUGGGGAGCAAACACGAUUAGAUACCCUGGUAGUCCACGCCGUAAACGAUGAAUGUUAGCCGUCGGGCAGUAUACUGUUCCGUGGCGCAGCUUACCCAAUUAACAAUCCCGCCUGGGGAGUACGGUCGCCAGAAUAAAA